CAGCAGCCACGGGAAUACGGAGGGUGCAAGCGUUAAUCGGAAUUACUGGGCGUAAAGCGCACGCAGGCGGUCUGUCAAGUCAGAUGUGAAAUCCCCGGGCUUAACCUGGGAACUGCAUUUGAAACUGGCAGGCUAGAGUCUUGUAGAGGGGGGUAGAAUUCCAGGUGUAGCGGUGAAAUGCGUAGAGAUCUGGAGGAAUACCGGUGGCGAAGGCGGCCCCCUGGACAAAGACUGACGCUCAGGUGCGAAAGCGUGGGGAGCAAACAGGAUUAGAUACCCGGGUAGUCCCUGUCUCUUAUAC
rnacentral:rRNA from 1 species